rnacentral:rRNA from 1 species
AACGCGAAGAACCUUACGUGGAAUUCACUAUGCACUAGUACGCAUCCAGAGAUGGGUGUUCCCUGUGGCUGGUGUGCAGGUGGUGCAUGGCUGUCGUCAGCUCGUGUCGUGAGAUGUUGGGUUAAGUCCCGCAACGAGCGCAACCCUCGUUCCAUGUUGCCAGCGCGUGAUGGCGGGGACUCAUGGGAGACUGCCGGGGUCAACUCGGAGGAAGGUGGGGAUGACGUCAAGUCAUCAUGCCCCUUAUGUCCAGGGCUUCACACAUGCUACAAUGGCCAGUACAGAAGGGUGCAACCCCUCCCGGUGGAGCGAAUCCCUUAAAGAUGGUCUCAUUUCACGAUCGGGGUCUGCAACUCGACCCCGUGAAGUUGGAGUCUCUAGUAAUCUGCAGAUCAACAACGCUGCGGUGAAUACAUUCCCGGGUCUUGUACACACCG